rnacentral:sRNA from 1 species
GCCGGGCGUGGUGGUGUGCGUCUGUAGUCCCAGCUACUCAGGAGGCUGAGGCGGGAGGAUCUCUUGAGCCAGGGAGGUCGAGGCUGCAGUGAACCAAGAUCACACCACUGCACUCUAGCCUAAGCGACAGAGGGAGACCCUGUCUCGA